rfam:Triticum aestivum genome assembly, contig: Triticum_aestivum_CS42_TGACv1_scaffold_513751_6BS
CAUGUACUCCCUCCGUCCCAAAUUUGUUGUCUUAGAUUUGUCUAAAUACGGAUGUAUCUAGUUACAUUUUAGUGUUAGAUACAUCCGUAUCUAGACAAAUCUAAGACAAGAAUUUUGGGACGGAGGGAGUAUAAU